rnacentral:rRNA from 1 species
UACGUAGGGGGCGAGCGUUGUCCGAAGUUACUGGGCGUAAAGCGCGCGUAGGCGGUUUCUUAAGUCUGGUGUGAAAGGUUCAGGGCUCAACCCGAACAGUGCACUGGAUACUGGGAGACUUGAGUAUGGGAGAGGAGAGCGGAAUUCCUGGUGUAGCGGUGAAAUGCGUAGAUAUCAGGAGGAACACCGAUGGCGAAGGCAGCUCUCUGGCCUGUAACUGACGCUGGAGGUGACGAAAGCGUGGGGAGCAAACAGG